GCCUUCGUGGUGUGGUGGUCAGCACGCUCGACGCAUAUUCGAGAGGUCCUGGUUCGAGUCUCGGCGAGGGCG
rnacentral:tRNA from 1 species